rnacentral:rRNA from 1 species
UGGGGAAUAUUGCGCAAUGGGGGGAACCCUGACGCAGCCAUGCCGCGUGAAUGAAGAAGGCCUUCGGGUUGUAAAGUUCUUUCGGUAUUGAGGAAGGUUGAUGUGUUAAUAGCACAUCAAAUUGACGUUAGAUACAGAAGAAGCACCGGCUAACUCCGUGCCAGCAGCCGCGGUAAUACGGAGGGUGCGAGCGUUAAUCGGAAUAACUGGGCGUAAAGGGCACGCAGGCGGUUAUUUAAGUGAGGUGUGAAAGCCCUGGGCUUAACCUAGGAAUUGCAUUUCAGACUGGGUAACUAGAGUACUUUAGGGAGGGGUAGAAUUCCACGUGUAGCGGUGAAAUGCGUAGAGAUGUGGAGGAAUACCGAAGGCGAAGGCAGCCCCUUGGGAAUGUACUGACGCUCAUGUGCGAAAGCGUGGGGAGCAAACAGGAUUAGAUACCCUGGUAGUCCACGCUGUAAACGCUGUCGAUUUGGGGAUUGGGCUUAGAGCUUGGUGCCCGUAGCUAACGUGAUAAAUCGACCGCCUGGGGAGUACGGCCGCAAGGUUA